CAUGACACAAAGGUAAAAGGCGCUUCGGCGUCACCUAGAGAUGGAUCCGCGGUGCAUUAGUUAGUUGGUGGGGUAAAGGCCUACCAAGACAAUGAUGCAUAGCCGAGUUGAGAGACUGAUCGGCCACAUUGGGACUGAGACACGGCCCAAACUCCUACGGGAGGCUGCAGUAGGGAAUCUUCCACAAUGGGCGAAAGCCUGAUGGAGCAACGCCGCGUGUGUGAUGAAGGCUUUCGGGUCGUAAAGCACUGUUGUAUGGGAAGAACAGCUAGAAUAGGAAAUGAUUUUAGUUUGACGGUACCAUACCAGAAAGGGACGGCUAAAUACGUGCCAGCAGCCGCGGUAAUACGUAUGUCCCGAGCGUUAUCCGGAUUUAUUGGGCGUAAAGCGAGCGCAGACGGUUUAUUAAGUCUGAUGUGAAAGCCCGGAGCUCAACUCCGGAAUGGCAUUGGAAACUGGUUAACUUGAGUGCAGUAGAGGUAAGUGGAACUCCAUGUGUAGCGGUGGAAUGCGUAGAUAUAUGGAAGAACACCAGUGGCGAAGGCGGCUUACUGGACUGCAACUGACGUUGAGGCUCGAAAGUGUGGGUAGCAAACAGGAUUGGAUACCCUGGUAGUCCACACCGUAAAC
rnacentral:rRNA from 1 species